rnacentral:tRNA from 1 species
GGUGCGAUGCCCGAGUUGGUUAAGGGGACGGUCUGCAAAACCGCCUUUCAUCGGUUCGACUCCGAUUCGCACCU